rnacentral:rRNA from 1 species
AUUGAACGCUGGCGGCAGGCCUAACACAUGCAAGUCGAACGGUAACAGGAAGAAGCUUGCUUCUUUGCUGACGAGUGGCGGACGGGUGAGUAAUGUCUGGGAAACUGCCUGAUGGAGGGGGAUAACUACUGGAAACGGUAGCUAAUACCGCAUAACGUCGCAAGACCAAAGAGGGGGACCUUCGGGCCUCUUGCCAUCGGAUGUGCCCAGAUGGGAUUAGCUAGUAGGUGGGGUAACGGCUCACCUAGGCGACGAUCCCUAGCUGGUCUGAGAGGAUGACCCGCCCAAAGGGAACUGAGAAACGGUCCCAACCCCCAAGGGGGGGCAGAGGGGGGAAUAUUGGACAAUGGGGCAAAGCCCGAGUGAGGCACGGCGCGGGUGUGAAAAAGGGCCUUGGGUUUUAAAAUACUUUUAGGGGGGGGGAAAGGGAGUAAGUUUAAACCCUUUGCUUUUGACGGUACCCCCAAAAAAAGCACCGGGCAAACCCGUG